AAAGAAAUACAUUUAUAUGCAACAACAUAGUAUGUACAACAAGGCACAAAGACAACAAUGUUCCGUCAGAUUUCACUACACUCCCGCUUCUUUUUCGGGUUAUGGUUAGUUCCAUGGGGGUGAUGAUGAUGUUGGUGGUUUGUA